CUACCAAGACAGUGACGGUUGACGGGGAAUCAGGGUUUGAUACCGGAGAGGGAGCCUGAGAGAUAGCUCCCACGUCCAUGGACGGCAGCAGGCGCGAAAAUUGCCCACUCUUUGUAGGAGGCAGUUAUGAGACGUGAGAUUGAAUAUUUUGUAAAGAGGAAUAGGAGAAUUGGAGGGCAAGUUUGGUGCCAGCCGCCGCGGUAAUACCGACUCCAAGAGUGUGUAUGAGAGAUGCUGCAGUUAAAAAGUCCGUAGUCGUAGAAAUGAAAAUAGGGAUGUGAAGUCUCUGUAGUUAGUUUUAGAAAAACCGAUGGGGAACAUAGUAUACCAGGGCGAGAGAUGAAAUGCCAAGACCCCUGGUGGACUAAGCGAGGCGAAAGCGAUGUUCUUGUAGGUAUUUGAUGAUCAAGGACGAAGGCUGGAGUAUCGAAAGUGAUUAGAUACCGCAGUAGUUCCAGCAGUAAAAGAUGCC
rnacentral:rRNA from 1 species